AUUGAACGCUGGCGGCAGGCCUAACACAUGCAAGUCGAGCGGAUGAAGUGAGCUUGCUCCUGGAUUCAGCGGCGGACGGGUGAGUAAUGCCUAGGAAUCUGCCUGGUAGUGGGGGAUAACGUCCGGAAACGGGCGCUAAUACCGCAUACGUCCUGAGGGAGAAAGUGGGGGAUCUUCGGACCUCACGCUAUCAGGUGAGCCUAGGUCGGAUUAGCUAGUUGGUGGGGUAAAGGCCUACCAAGGCGACGAUCCGUAACUGGUCUGAGAGGAUGAUCAGUCACACUGGAACUGAGACACGGUCCAGACUCCUACGGGAGGCAGCAGUGGGGAAUAUUGGACAAUGGGCGAAAGCCUGAUCCAGCCAUGCCGCGUGUGUGAAGAAGGUCUUCGGAUUGUAAAGCACUUUAAGUUGGGAGGAAGGGCAGUAAGUUAAUACCUUGCUGUUUUGACGUUACCAACAGAAUAAGCACCGGCUAACUUCGUG
rnacentral:rRNA from 1 species